CCCGAGAGUCGGGCGGACGGUGCAGUCCCCAACCUGGUCAGGUCCGGAAGGAAGCAGCCACAAGGAUAAGCCCCGGGUCGUUCCGGCUCUCACCCGC
rnacentral:SRP_RNA from 1 species